rnacentral:lncRNA from 1 species
UACUGCACUGAAUAAUGCACUAUUUCAUCUUUUUUUUUUUUGGCUGGCUAAGGGUACAAGUUGUACUGAAAAAUAAUUCUCUAUUUUGCAUAUUCAUAUUUUUAGAAAUAGGAGAGAUAUAAACUAAAGAAGGAGCGCUUUCCAGUUCCUGUUUAAUUACAGGAAUUUUCAAACAUGUAUCUUUGUUGUACCGCAUCUAUAAAAUCGUGAAGAGAAAUAGACUUAUUGUUUAGUUUGCUACCAUAGAUAUAGUAGCGCAUAAAUAGUGUUGUGUAAUUAAAUUUCUUUAUCACGUUAUUUCCGGGCGCAGUAGUUGGAGAGAUUUGAGAGUUGUUUGUUUUAGUGAACCAAAGUGUUACUUUUUGUACGAAUGACUUAGUGAAGGAGCAGUGAAUGAAGGUGUGGUCGAUGGUGUCCGGUUUAAUCCCAUAUUUGAAUAGUUCUCCCUUUGUCACGACAGUUCUAUGAAUAAAAUUGAAAUUCUCUUAACUUCGUUUCCUUGCAUACUGUUCUCAGAGAUUUAAAAGUCUUUCCCCGAUGAUCUUCAUUUAAAGACAGGUUUUCGCUCCAUCUUUUGGGACCAAACAAAAUUAAGCUCUUGGUGCUGUUUCGAAACAAUUUUUGAGUAGCUUAUUAGUUUCUUCUCGAUUUUCCCUUGUUAAUUAACCGCUCUAAUGUGCGUGUACGUGAUUAGUGACAUCUUUGUAGCAAAAACAAAAUGUACCUUGUGGUUUUUAGUAAAACUAGUAACGGCACAACGGGAGUCUUUUCAGUUUUUCAGUAAACCUGGCAAGCACUCCGGUAAAAUUUAUUUUAGAAGACACUGUGAGAAAAAGAUAGGAAAAUCACUUGUUCCGAUUAUUUUCGAGACUCAAAAUGCAUAUCUUUUUGGCUAUGCAGGUUGUUUAACACAUUUCAUACAUAGAAUAUGCUUGAACGUCAUACACAUGCACAAAACGAAGUUUUAGCUGUCAAUGACUGGGGUUAAAGUAAACCAAUUUGAAGGAAACACCGUUUCCGUGUGAGACGAGCUUGAAAGCUAAGUUUCUAUAUUUAAUAAAGCAAGGUAGCUUGCUCCUUACUCCUUUGUUCACUCAAGCCGGACAUAAUGACGUAACGACAUAAGAAUUAAGGACGUUAUGUUGUUAUGUCACCAGUGUGAAGAUCCUGACAUAAUGACAUAAUAGAAAAAACUGAUCUUUUCCUUAUGUCGUUAUGUCUAUGUCGUUAUGUUUCAGUUAAAACAAGUGUGAACAUCAUCGACAUAAUAAUUUGAUUUGUGGUCAAAACUUGGACAUAGCGACAGACAAAUGCCAACUCUAACAUCAUUAAUUUUGUCUCGAACAUCCGCAGAAAAGACCUCGCGAACCUAGUUUCAAAUUACGUCUGUACAGGAAAUUGUGCAAAGUGCGUUUAAAAUGCUAUUAGAAUUUUAGACAUUUAAAGUUUGUAUAUAGUUGUAUAGGUAGAAAUUAUUAUAUUUUAGUCCGUGUUUUAAAACAUAAAUGGAUGGAUGGAUGGAUGGAUGGAUGGAGGGAUUGACAACAUAACAAAAAACCAAUCAGAGCGGCACACGAAUUGUCGAGCCCAGUCCGCCACCAACACUAUUUUCAAAAUUCCGAUGACUGUCAAGUGUGAUCAGGAAUUGUAAUACCGUUUACCUGAAAAAUAUUCCCGAUUCCCCAAACUAAACCCUCUGACUAGUUUGUGGCACUGGCCGUGUGCUCUCCUAGCUUCAUGAUGAAGGAUCAGGCGUAUGAUUGAUUGUAAAUAGAUUAAUAAGUUUUACGUUUUACGUUCAAUUGAGUGUCCACAAUUAGUUAUCUAAGCUAAAUACUCAGACACUUAAAUGAAGUUCAUUCAUUCAUUCAUUCAUUCAUUCAUUCAUUCAUUCAUUCAUUCAUGCAUUCAUCGACUCUUUUCUUCUGGCAUUUCUCCCUUUGUUUUCCGUCGUUGAAGAAAAGAAACAGAAAAAUGAGUUGCAAUAAGUGUUUCUUCCUCCAUUUUUAAAGUCUUGUUUGCACCUAACCUUAAGUCUUUAUGUAACUUAUGUCUACGUUCACAUUACCGACAUAAGCGAUUAUUUCCUUAUGUCGUUAUGUUGCUAUGUUGCUAUGUUGCGAUGUUGUUAUGUCGUUCUUGUGAACUAUGCCUUACUCAGGCAAUAUCAGUACCAUGAAAUGAUCACGUCUGUUACAUAAUCAGCUUAAUAAUACCGUAUUAAUUUAUUAAGGCAUUGUCGUUAUAUAGAGUGCAGAGUUCUAAAAUUUAAAAAGUAUAAAAACUUAUAAAUUUAGCUCGACACCCCCCAUUAUUAGUGUAUGUGUUCAAGGAAUAAAAACUUUUGCCACCUGGAGUAGUUAACAACGUCAUCGCAAAAUACGGAUUACAUUGGCCCGCAGCCGAGCGUAGAACCGGCCAAUUUUAAUUUCCAGACGCGGAAAACGAACUGAAACGCAAUAUUUUGAUCAAUAUCCAAAUAUUUUUAAGUAAAACUGUUGUACUUGAUGAAUGGUUGUUUCAAUGCCCAACACUGAAAUCAACAUUUGCUGGCCAAAUAUGUCUAUCUGUAGCCAUAACUAUUAUAUAACUGACUACAAAGAUAACGAAGUCCUUUUCCUAACCCUCGCCGGCAACAAUGAUAUUUCCGACUGAUCUGACUGCACAAGCUCGAGACGGAAUUUAUGUCACAAGAUCACGAGGUCACAGCGCUCAGGAGACGUCAUAUGUAAUGAUUAUGGAAUGAAAUAUCAGGUGAUCACAGACUGCUGGAAGAGAGAGAGAACUGUGGAAUCAAUCAAUCAAUAAUGAUAAUCAAUAUGAAAAUAACAAUCAAUGUGAAAAUAGAGGAGCAUUAAUCCCAGUAGAAGAUCGAACAUGUUUAGUAUCCAAAGAAAACUGCACAGGACAUGAACAGCAUUUCUUGAUGUAUUGUCAGGGUUAUGCCACUAUACGACGUGAGCUGCAUAUAUUCGCAUAUUUUAAACUCGGACACUCGUUACACCAGUUUAAGUGAUAACGAGAGGACCAAGUAUUUACUUAAAGCAGACAAUCAGUAAAGAUUAAAUCGAAAAUAACAGGUAAAUAUAUCCAUUUAAUGUUGCAAACAAGAAAAGAGAUUCUUACAAUUCACAAAUGUAAUAAGCGCUAUGAGUUUUCCAAUUAAUUGUAUACGGAUACGGUAAAUGUUAUGUUAUAUUUUUACUAGCUACUGUUCAAACCUUUAUUAUAACUAGAUCAAUACCUCCCUUUGGAGAGUAAGGCGCAAUAAACAUAUACUAUUACUACUAUUACUGUUAAUCAAUCAAUUAAAAAAAGGACGGGAAAAGACUAAUGCAAGGCUGACACACGGUCGUAUAUUUAAAACAAUAUUUCGGCUGGCCAGACCAGCCUUCUUCAGAUGUUACUAAAUUUGUUGGCUUCACACUAGAAGCUAUAAAGUUAGUUUCAAUUAAGCACUUCACUCAAGUGCACUUGAAAAUCUCAAGUCGCACUUUAAAAAACUUGACUAAGUAUAUUACUUGAAGCAUUUUCGCAGUAAAAUCAGUCAUGCAUGUCACAAAUGCGAUUGUUCGGCAGGAAAAUCGUGAAGAAAUGCAAAUACUUGCUUUGUUGCUAACGAAUACAUAGCAGCAACACAAAGGAACAAACGACAUCUUCUGUAUUUCUCUAGAAUGGCUCGACAGCGCGGUUUUCGGCAAAGAAAUUGCUGUAACCGAGACAUGCAUCCGCUAUAAACAAUGAAUUUCCGUGCGACUCGUCCAAUGUUCAACAGAGUUGUUCGGGUGCAAAGCGAGUGACCUGGUUGAAACUUGAAACAGCAGCUGGUUUGCAAUUUGCAGAACUGCAUUCAGGUGUGGAAUGAUAUGAAAAGCGAUGGUUUAGGCUGUCUUUGAAAAAGACAGUUGUUCGUCUGUCCGUUCAUCAGAAUUGUAGCAACGCUGCACAUCGCUUUCAGUUGGCUUCCAUUUCCUAUUGGUCAAGUGUGUUCUCAAGUGUGGUGUAGACCGUACUUCAGCCUCUUUGAUCUACCAACGCUUCCAUGGUCACUAAUAAGUAAAGUCCAUCUAUUAAAGUACAUUUUACCCCUUCACACUCAAAGUAAGUUCCAAGUGCACUUAAAUUAUACUUACAAUUCAAGCUCCAGUGUGAAGCGAACAAUUAUGAAAUGAAAUUACAAUAUUAUAUAAUGGUGGAUGUCGCAACACAUAUUUCGAAACUAAAAGAAGUGGCGGAAAUGACGAACAAAACAAACUAAAUAAAG